rnacentral:rRNA from 1 species
AGUCGAACGGCAGCGCGGGGGCGCUUGCGUCCCUGGCGGCGAGUGGCGGACGGNNGAGUAACGCAUGGGAACGCGCCCNAUUGUGGGGGAUAACCCUGGGAAACCAGGGCUAAUACCGCAUAAUCUCUACNGAGCNAAGCGGGGGACCUUUUCNGAGGCCUCGCGCGAUCGGAGCGGCCCAUGUCCGACUAGCUAGUUGACGAGGUAACGGNUCGCCAAGGCUACNAUCGGUAGCUGGUCUGANAGGAUGACCAGCCACNCCGGGACUGAGACACGGCCCGGACUCCUACGGGAGGCANCNGUGGGGAAUCUUGGACCAUGGGGGCAACCCUGAUCCAGCGAUGCCNCGUGAGUGAAGAAGGCCUUCGGGUUGUAAAGCUCUUUCNCGAGGGAAGAAACGGCGGCGGCGAACAGCCAGCCGCAACUGACGGUACCUCGACAAGAAGCCCCGGCUAACUACGUGCCANCAGCCGCGGUAAGACGUAGGGCGCNAGCGUU